rnacentral:rRNA from 1 species
AUGGGCAGGGCCAAGAACAUAGAUGAUGCCGAUUUGCAAGAGGUGCUUGCUCUGCGCGAGGAAUUCGGCGUCUUACAGCAGGAGAGUGCCUUGAUGCGCACUGAGGUAGCCAAGCUCCAUCAAGACGUGCAGUCCAUCAGUUCCAAACAAGGUGAUAUCUCUCUGCAAGUAGGUACAGUGGAAAAAGCUGUGUUAGAUCUCAGUAAGCAAUUAUCAGCAAUUAGUUCAGCGUUCAAGACACUGGUGCCUCCCACUAAUCAGGGGCAAACUAUUGAUAUCCCUUCUAGUUCUACACAGUUGGUGAAAUCUCCUACACUGCAUGGAGCAACUACUCAUUUACAGCCUGACAGAACUGAACAAUUACGGAAACAGCUAGAGGAAGAGAAGGAAAAGACUAGGUUGGCUGAGGAAUUGCACUUGCAAAAUUUGACACCUAUUCGCACUAACAGACCCAAUGUUCCACCUGGAUUUGCUCAAUCAAAAAGAAUGGAUGCCACUAGUCAAGUGGGCACUCCUCUAUCCCAAAGAGAUCCAGGUCACACCCCUGCAUUUCAACAGUUUCAGAACAGGGAGAGGCAACUAUGGCAAGGAUAUUACAGAACAUAUGAGCAGGACAUGCAGGUCCAAUUCAUGAAGGCUAUGACAAAAGGUCCUAAACUGGAAUUUCCUAAAUUCUUUGGAGAGGAUCCUGUGGGAUGGUUGAGACAAUGUAACAAAUACUUUCAAAUGUCUGGUGCUCCUGAAGAAUACAAAGUAUCCUUAGCACAGAUGUAUAUAAGUGGAGAUGCUGAUAUUUGGUUAAGAAGGCCUGGUCUGCUUAAAAAGCAUUUGACAUGGAAAGAAUUUGGCAAAGAAAUUGUGAAGAGAUUCUCUCAACAGGGCACUUAUGAUCUGACAGAAAAGUUCAAUAAUCUGAAACAAAACAACAACACUGUAUCUGACUAUACCAUGCAGUUUGAGGACCUAAUGGCUGAUAUGCAAGAUGAAAAUCCAGAAUUAAAUGAACUCUGGUUUGUCAGGUGUUAUGUGAACGGCAUGAGAGAGGGCAUUAAGUAUCAGAUAAGACUACUGAGACCCCAAACUAUCACUGAUGCCUAUUGCUUGGCAAGGGACAUUGAACCUUGUCACCCACCUGUGUCUGUUAAUCAAAAAAAGGCAUUUGUGCCUUAUAACAGCUACUAUCAGAAGAACACAAGUGCCAGCUUAUCUAAACAGCUACACACUCCUGUGUUACCUCAGGCUCCAACUGGCACUAAAUCUGCAGACAAUGUCAACAAUACUGCUCAGAGGAUAAGAAAAGCUGGUGAAUGCUGGAGAUGUGGCGACAAAUGGGUACAUGGGCAUAAAUGCACUCUUAUUCCUAAUGUGCAUCUCAUGCAACAAGAGGUGGAAGAUACUGGCCCACUAGAACAAGAAGAGCCACAUCCAGAACAAUCAGAAAAUAUAGAGGAGCAACAUGAACAAGCAAUGUUUAUCUCUGCUUAUGCCCUGGGUCAUCAGUCAACGGUGCAAACCCCAACAAUAAUUAUAUCUGUUAAUGGUAAGAGAGCUGUAGCUCUACUAGACUUUGGAAGUUCCUCCUCUUUCAUGAAUGAAAAGUUUGCAAUUAAAUCAAACUGUCAUAUGCUGCCCAGAAAACCUAGAGCAAUUUCUGUUGCGGGUGGAGGUACACUAAUAUCUGCAGCUGUAGUACCAAAUUGCCCUUUCCAGAUUGCUAAACUAGGAAUGCAACACUCUUUCAGAGUUCUGGAUUUACCUAGCCAUGACAUUAUUCUUGGUUAUGACUGGUUCACCCUUGUCAGCCCAGUCACUUUUGAUGUUCCUAGGCAUCAGUUCAGUUUUACAGUGGAAGGACAGACUAAAGUCACAGCAGCUAUCUUCAAUACUAAUGAAGAAGUGAAAGAAAUGCAGGCGAAGAAACUCCCAAAUAUGUUGGACAAAGGAGUGCAAGGAUUUCUUAUACAAUUGAACAGCAUUAUAAUGGAAGCUCCUGCCAAUCACUGCAUUCCAGCUGCAGUCCAACAAUUGUUGGAAGAAUACAAGGAUGUAUUCCAGGAGCCUACAAAGUUACCUCCUAGUAGAGCUUUGGACCACACAAUUCCUUUGAUGCCAGGAGUGGAACCCCCUCACUCCAGACCUUAUAGAGUGCCCCAUCACCAGAAGGACGAAAUGGAAAAACAGAUUCAGCAUUUGUUGGACAACAAAUUAAUCAGACCUAGCCAGAGCCCUUAUGCUGCCCCUGUGCUUCUAGUGAAGAAAAAGGACAGCACUAUGAGACUGUGCACAGAUUUCAGAAAAUUGAAUUCAGUCACAAUCAAAAAUAAAUUCCCAAUUCCGGCGAUUGAGGAUUUAUUGGAUGAACUGCAUGGAGCUAAAGUAUUCUCUAAAUUGGAUCUAAGGUCUGGUUACCACCAAAUCAGAAUGAAUUCUAAAGACGUACACAAAACUGCUUUUCGAACAUUCUUGGGUCACUAUGAAUAUUUGGUCAUGCCUUUUGGCUUAUCCAACGCACCUGGCACUUUUCAAGCUCUCAUGAAUUUUCUCUUUGCACACUACAAUAGAAAGUUUGUGUUAGUGUUCUUUGAUGACAUACUCAUUUUUAGUAAAACAUUAGAGGAGCAUGUGGAUCAUUUAGCACAAGUGCUCAAAAUUCUCAGAGAAAAUGAACUAUACGCUAAGUUGUCCAAAUGUGUGUUUGCUGUUGAUAAAGUGCAGUAUUUGGGACAUGUGGUUUCUGGAGAAGGUGUUGCUACAGAGCCUGAAAAGAUCACUGCUAUAUCUCAGUGGCUACUCCUACUGAUGCAACUAAGCUGA